rnacentral:rRNA from 1 species
UACGUAGGGUGCAAGCGUUGUCCGGAAUUAUUGGGCGUAAAGAGCUCGUAGGCGGUCUGUCGCGUCUGCUGUGAAAACUCAGGGCUUAACCCUGAGCUUGCAGUGGGUACGGGCAGACUAGAGUGCGGUAGGGGAGACUGGAAUUCCUGGUGUAGCGGUGGAAUGCGUAGAUAUAUGGAGGAACACCAAUGGCGAAGGCAGCUUGCUGGACAGUAAUUGACGCUGAGAUGCGAAAGCGUGGGGAGCAAACAGG